AGUGAACGCUGGCGGUAGGCCUAACACAUGCAAGUCGAACGGCAGCACAGGAGAGCUUGCUCUCUGGGUGGCGAGUGGCGGACGGGUGAGGAAUACAUCGGAAUCUGCCCAGUCGUGGGGGAUAACGUAGGGAAACUUACGCUAAUACCGCAUACGACCUUCGGGUGAAAGAGGGGGAUCGCAAGACCUCUCGCGAUUGGAUGAGCGAUGUCGGAUUAGCUAGUUGGCGGGGUAAUGGGCCACCAAGGCGACGAUCCGUAGCUGGUCUGAGAGGAUGAUCAGCCACACUGGAACUGAGACACGGUCCAGACUCCUACGGGAGGCAGCAGUGGGGAAUAUUGGACAAUGGGCGCAAGCCUGAUCCAGCCAUACCGCGUGGGUGAAGAAGGCCUUCGGGUUGUAAAGCCCUUUUGUUGGGAAAGAAAUCUUUCAGGCUAAUACCCUGGGAGGAUGACGGUACCCAAAGAAUAAGCACCGGCUAACUUCGUG
rnacentral:rRNA from 1 species